CGGGAAGGGACCGUCUCGGUCGCAAGCUGCUCCGGUCCCCAAACAACCUGCGACAAAUGAUAGGAAAUGCCGACAUCAAUACGUGUUCAGUUUGGUUUAUCGCUCAUAGGUCUGUUUGACCAUCGAUCCCUGAUUAAACUCUCAGUAAUCCAGUCGGGAGAGUAAGGCAUGCCCAUCGAUAUCUCAUCGACAGGCGAUACCGCUUGAACGGCCAACGACACAUCAGAGGAUCGUAUCUUGCUACAACUUUUGCUUAAUCGUUUCUUCUCCUUGGAGAAAGAAACCCCCGGGGACCGUCUCGGUCGCAAGCUGCACCGGUCCCUAAACAACCUGCGACAAAUGAUAGGAAAUGCCGACAUCAAUACGUGUUCAGUUUGGUUUAUCGCUCAUUGGUCUGUUUGACCAUCGAUCCCUGAUUAAACUCUCAGUAAUCCAGUCGGGAGAGUAAGGCAUGCCCAUCGAUAUCUCAUCGACAGGCGAUACCGCUUGAACGGCCAACGACACAUCAGAGGAUCGUAUCUUGCUACAACUUUUGCUUAAUCGUUUCUUCUCCUUGGAGAAAGAAACCCCCGGGGACCGUCUCGGUCGCAA